rnacentral:rRNA from 1 species
AUUGAACGCUGGCGGCAGGCUUAACACAUGCAAGUCGAGCGGGGGAAGGUAGCUUGCUACCGGACCUAGCGGCGGACGGGUGAGUAAUGCUUAGGAAUCUGCCUAUUAGUGGGGGACAACAUCUCGAAAGGGAUGCUAAUACCGCAUACGUCCUACGGGAGAAAGCAGGGGAUCUUCGGACCUUGCGCUAAUAGAUGAGCCUAAGUCGGAUUAGUUAGUUGGUGGGGUAAAGGCCUACCAAGGCGACGAUCUGUAGCGGGUCUGAGAGGAUGAUCCGCCACACUGGGACUGAGACACGGCCCAGACUCCUACGGGAGGCGGCAGUGGGGAAUAUUGGACAAUGGGGGGAACCCUGAUCCAGCCAUGCCGCGUGUGUGAAGAAGGCCUUAUGGUUGUAAAGCACUUUAAGCGAGGAGGAGGCUACUCUAGUUAAUACCUAGGGAUAGUGGACGUUACUCGCAGAAUAAGCACCGGCUAACUCUGUGCCAGCCGCCGCGGUAA